GUUGAACGCUGGCGGAAUGCUUUACACAUGCAAGUCGAACGACAGCACGGACUUCGGUCUGGUGGCGAGUGGCGAACGGGUGAGUAAUGUAUCGGAACGUGCCCAGUCGUGGGGGAUAACGUAGUGAAAAUUACGCUAAUACCGCAUACGAUCUAUGGAUGAAAGCGGGGGAUCGCAAGACCUCGCGCGAUUGGAGCGGCCGAUAUCAGAUUAGGUAGUUGGUGGGGUAAAGGCCCACCAAGCCAACGAUCUGUAGCUGGUCUGCGAGGACGACCAGCCACACUGGAACUGAGACACGGUCCAGACUCCUACGGGAGGCAGCAGUGGGGAAUUUUGGACAAUGGGCGAAAGCCUGAUCCAGCCAUUCCGCGUGCAGGAUGAAGGCCCUCGGGUUGUAAACUGCUUUUGUACAGAACGAAAAGGUUUCUACUAAUACUAGGAGCUCAUGACGGUACUGUAAGAAUAAGCACCGGCUAACUACGUGCCAGCCGCCGCUGUAA
rnacentral:rRNA from 1 species